GGCAACGGAGCGCCGAAACAUGCUGCACAAAGUCAAUGGGGAAACAAUCAGUAGGAUUCUACUGUAAAAUAGCGAAGCGCUGCAAAGUCUGUGUGAACGAAAAGGCACUUUAUAUACAAAGAAAUGUCGGCGAAGCAGAGACACACAAAUCACAAUCAACUCCUGGAACAGCGGUGGAAGAAAGUGCAACAACAGCGACUCCAUUUACCAAUGCCAAUUGGCUUCCUACAAAGUGGCAGCUCCAUGGCUGUGUCCCAAGCAGUGGAGGCUUACAAGCUGAACAAAGAGAGGGGGAGAAUUGUGCGCAGCCCAUCACCAAAGCCUCAAUUCCCUUCCAGUAUGCAAAGUGAAGAUCGGAAGCACAGA